AGUCGUGGGGCAGCAGGUUUGUAGCAAUACAGAUGCUGGCGACCGGCAAACGGGUGCGUAACACGUACGCAACUUACCCAUUACUGGUGGAUAGCCCAGGGAAACUUGGAUUAAUACACCAUAACACAUAGAAAAGGCAUCUUUUUUAUAUUAAAGCUUCGGCGGUAAUGGAUGGGCGUGCGGUUGAUUAGAUAGUUGGCGGGGUAACGGCCCACCAAGUCUACGAUCAAUAGCUGAUGUGAGAGCAUGAUCAGCCACACGGGCACUGAGACACGGGCCCGACUCCUACGGGAGGCAGCAGUAAGGAAUAUUGGGCAAUGGACGAAAGUCUGACCCAGCCAUGCCGCGUGAAGGAUGAAGGUCCUCUGGAUUGUAAACUUCUUUUAUCUGGGGCGAAAACCUCCCUUUCUAGGGGGCUUGACAGUACCAGAAGAAUAAGCACCGGCUAACUCCGUGCCAGCAGCCGCGGUAAUACGGAGGGUGCAAGCGUUAUCCGGAUUCACUGGGUUUAAAGGGUGCGUAGGCGGGCAGGUAAGUCAGUGGUGAAAUCCCCGAGCUUAACUCGGGAACUGCCGUUGAUACUAUCUGUCUUGAAUACCGUGGAGGUGAGCGGAAUAUGUCAUGUAGCGGUGAAAUGCUUAGAUAUGACAUAGAACACCAAUUGCGAAGGCAGCUCGCUACACGGUCAUUGACGCUGAGGCACGAAAGCGUGGGGAUCAAACAGGAUUAGAUACCCUGGUAGUCCACGCCCUAAACGAUGAUUACUCGACAUCAGCGAUACACUGUUGGUGUCUAAGCUAACGCAUUAAGUAAUCCACCUGGGAAGUACGAUCGCAAGAUUGAAACUCAAAGGAAUUGGCGGGGGUCCGCACAAGCGGNGGNNCAUGUGGUUUAAUUCGAUGAUACGCGANGNACCUUACCNGGGCUAGAAUGUCNNNUGANAGUCGNUGAAAGCCGAUCUUAUAGCANUAU
rnacentral:rRNA from 1 species